rnacentral:rRNA from 1 species
UACGAGAGGCCCAAACGUUAUUCGGAAUUAACUGGGCUUAAAGGAGUUCGUAGGCGGCAGUUGCAAGUAGGGUGUGAAAGCCCUCGGACUCCGAACCGAGGAAUUGCGCUCUAAACUGCAGUGCUUGAGGCACCUAGAGGUGAGCAGAACAGAUGGUGGAGCGGUGAAUGCGUUGAUAUCAUCUGGAAUACCGGAGGCGAAGGCGGCGUCACUGGGAGUUU